CCAUGUGUUCAUCAGAAGAUUUUUUAGAUCCAUCAGGCUCAGAUGUCCUCCUUAGGAGGACAUCUGAGCCUGAUGGAUCUAAAAAAUCUUAGGAGGACAU
rnacentral:miRNA from 1 species